CAAUCACAAGCUGCCACAUCCUACUACCAACCCGACCCGUCGCCCGACGCCCCCCAUGGACCCUCCUCCUCCCGCCACCCCGACCACCGCGGCGCCGGCGCCGGCGCUCCUCCGCCGCCUCUCCGCCGUCGACGCCUCCCUCUCCCGGCUGCUCCACCGCCACAACUUCCUCCCCCGCCCCCUCUUCCUCCUCCUCGAGCUCUCCGCCGACUUCCGCCUCUUCUUCCCCGUCUCCCUCUCCCUCUACCUCUCCCCGAUCCCCUCCCUCCGCCCUCUCCUCGCUCCGCUCAUCCUCGGCCUCCUCCUCGACCUGGCUCUCGUCGGCCUCGUCAAGCUCCUCUUCCGCCGCCCUCGCCCCGUCUACAACAAGAACAUGAGCGUCGCCGUCUCCGUCGACCACUACUCCUUCCCCAGCGGACACGCCUCUAGGGUUUUCUUCGUCGCCGCGCUGGUCUACCUCUCGGCUGACGCGAUGGAAGGGGCCGUCGUCGAAUCGAGGUCCGGCGGAUUCGUGGAUCGGUGGAUUGCCGACGGCAGCGAGCGGAAGUUUGUGGAGCUCGUGGUUUUGGUCGCUUCUGCUUGGGCGGCGGCGACGGCGAAUUCUAGAGUCUUGCUCGGACGGCAUUACGUGUGCGACGUGUUGGCCGGAGCGUGCUUGGGUGUGAUCGAAGGUUGGCUUGCGCAUCGUUACCUGAGGUUGUAGUGUUUUGAGGUAAGAAGUUUUCAUAUCAUCUGAUCUUUUGUUAACUAUGAUUGAUAGAUAGGUGAGUGAGAGAGAGAGAGAGAGAAAUUACUGUAAUCUACUGAUGAUAAGAUCACUCCAAUGCGAAAAGUUGCGAAAUUUGUAUGUCAUUAGAGCCUGUCAUUUUCCAUGAAUGAUGUUCUACCGCAAGAAUGUUGCACUUAUUUGGUGGAUAACAACAACCUCACAUUGGACUUGAGCUAUGUGUGUCGGUGUGUUGCGGAGAGCUUGUUCCAUAGUAAGCCGGUUUUUAGUUGAGUUUUAAGGGAAUACUGUAAAGUAGUACAGGUGGGAUGUUGAACUAUGGAUAAAUAGAUUUAUCUAGUAGUCACUUAGGAUUAUGCGGGAUGAGGCGCACAUUACCGACCAUGUAGUACUGGCAUCGGUUGGCCCCUCUUAUACGAAUUCGUCAUGCUAACAGGCUGGCUAUGCUGAGUUUUAAGGACAUGAAUUUCCUGCUUACCAGGCUGCAGCAUGGCAAUCUUUGGAUUAUUGUGAAUUGAAUUUUGUGCAAGCCCCUUGAAGGCAGUUUGUCAACAAUUGGAAGGGCAGUCUUUGCACCUACCGGUUGAAGUUCUCUUCCAAAAGAUCUUGGUCUUAGAAGUAAUUUUUCCUUGUUCCUUUGAUCCCUGCAUGCAUGGGAGCAUGUUGUGAAGUUUCACAGCUUGGCAUGUGAAGCUGUCAUGUCUGAUUUCCUAAUUUUUGUUUGAAAUCUCUCUAUCAACAUCUCAUUUUAUCAAUACAUGUUUUGGAUUCAUUGAUUGAAGGCGAUGAUUGGUGAAGAGUGGGCCUCAUGGUGGUUGCGAAGUAGUCAUGAAGCUCUUGUAGUUUUUAAUCAUUCACCUAGAAUGGUUGAAGGUGAAUUUAGAAUUUCCAGUGAAAGGUGAUCAUGAGAUAAGUCACUGGUGGAUAAACUAGGUUGAUGGUGAUUGUGGUCUCUUAGACUCGCUUACUGCACUCUCGGUAGUCCCAUCUCUUAGUUAAAUGUUGAUCCAAGUCUGUGGAGCGAAGAGGUAGUCAAUGGUUGGACGGAGUCUUGGAUGACAAUACACAUUGAUGUACUGCCAAGCAGAUAGUUGGCAGCAGGCAAGUUGCAGUUAACCGGGUUGAUUUGCAGGGCAAUGUUAGCUCUUUACAAAUGGAUUCCUGCACAAGCUGCACGAGUCUCCAUCUGUUUUAUAUACAAGCAAAUUUAUCAGUCCAUGCUAAGGGGUAGAAUCAUAUUUACAGUCUUUGAGUGCCAUCUUCAGCUCUUUUGCAAGAAAAAAUUGCCAUCUUGAGCUGUCAUUGUGGCGAAACAUUAUAUCAGUUGCUAGAGUUUAUUUACUCUCAGGAUGCAAAUACAUACUGAGAGGUGCGUACCAACAUGAGCUUAGGCUGAUCUUACUUGUCUUACGAAUCUUUGGACCUUAGUUUAUUUACUUCUUCGCGAGUCAGAAUGUGAGUUCUUCGACAUAUUUUCUUUACGUGUCACAAAGAUGUCAGAUGACUUUGAGAGGGAGUGUCUUCCCUUAAUAUUCUUGUAAAUUGCGCUACCCGUGGGGUCUGUAAAUAUUGGACAACAUCAUGAAAGGCAUCCAGUCGUCGUACAUUUUGUAUUCGAUUUAUAUAAUUUAGACGCAGUAGCUA